rnacentral:tRNA from 1 species
CUGGUCUUAGCCAAGUGGUUUCUGCAACAGAAUCAAAAUCUGUUUCUCUUCGACUGCGCAGGUUCGAAACCUGCUGAAUGAG